rnacentral:rRNA from 1 species
AUUGAACGCUGGCGGCAGGCCUAACACAUGCAAGUCGAGCGGAUGAAGGGAGCUUGCUCCUGGAUUCAGCGGCGGACGGGUGAGUAAUGCCUAGGAAUCUGCCUGGUAGUGGGGGAUAACGUCCGGAAACGGGCGCUAAUACCGCAUACGUCCUGAGGGAGAAAGUGGGGGAUCUUCGGACCUCACGCUAUCAGAUGAGCCUAGGUCGGAUUAGCUAGUUGGUGGGGUAAAGGCCUACCAAGGCGACGAUCCGUAACUGGUCUGAGAGGAUGAUCAGUCACACUGGAACUGAGACACGGUCCAGACUCCUACGGGAGGCAGCAGUGGGGAAUAUUGGACAAUGGGCGAAAGCCUGAUCCAGCCAUGCCGCGUGUGUGAAGAAGGUCUUCGGAUUGUAAAGCACUUUAAGUUGGGAGGAAGGGCAGUAAGUUAAUACCUUGCUGUUUUGACGUUACCAACAGAAUAAGCACCGGCUAACUUCGGG